GUGGGGAAUUUUGGACAAUGGGGGAAACCCUGAUCCAGCCAUGCCGCGUGCGGGAAGAAGGCCUUCGGGUUGUAAACCGCUUUUGUCGGGGAAGAAAUCCUUCGAGCUAAUACCUUGAGGGGAUGACGGUACCCGAAGAAUAAGCACCGGCUAACUACGUGCCAGCAGCCGCGGUAAUACGUAGGGUGCAAGCGUUAAUCGGAAUUACUGGGCGUAAAGCGUGCGCAGGCGGUUGUGCAAGCCAGAUGUGAAAUCCCCGGGCUUAACCUGGGAACUGCAUUUGUGACUGCACGGCUCGAGUGCGGCAGAGGGGGAUGGAAUUCCGCGUGUAGCAGUGAAAUGCGUAGAUAUGCGGAGGAACACCGAUGGCGAAGGCAAUCCCCUGGGCCUGCACUGACGCUCAUGCACGAAAGCGUGGGGAGCAAACAGGAUUAGAUACCCUGGUAGUCC
rnacentral:rRNA from 1 species